UACGUAGGGUGCAAGCGUUGUCCGGAAUUAUUGGGCGUAAAGAGCUCGUAGGCGGUUUGUCGCGUCUGCUGUGAAAACUCGGGGCUUAACCCCGGGCCUGCAGUGGGUACGGGCAGACUAGAGUGCGGUAGGGGGAGACUGGGAAUUCCUGGUGUAGCGGUGAAAUGCGCAGAGUAUCAGGAGGAACACCGGUGGCGAAGGCGGGUCUCUGGGCCGAUAUUGACGCUGAGGAGCGAAAGCGUGGGGAGCGAACAGG
rnacentral:rRNA from 1 species